rnacentral:lncRNA from 1 species
CCCAUCUCCCUUUCACUCGCCCCUCUCUUUGACAGAACAGGAUCCCCUCACUCUCUCAUUUCCAUCGCCAGGUCUCUCCUCCAUUCGGCCCCAGCAGCGGCUGAACAGCAGCAGUGCCGUCCCUCUCCAUCCCAGUUGUUCCCUUCCAUCGGCCUCCCUCCCCGGCCAUCUCACAGGUCUCCAUCAACCAGCCUCCAACGACAGCCGGACAACAGCAGCAAGGCCAACCAUUGCUGCCACCAACAGGAGUGAAGAGCAUCCAGCAGCAUCCACGACCCCUCACUUCCCUCUCCUCUCUCGACCGACCCAGCCUUCUCUCCUGCAGCCGACCUCCAGCAGCGGCAGCUUCUGCCCACAGCCGACAGACCAGCUCUCUCCCUCCAUCAACCGACCACAAGCAGCAUCACAGGACAGCCUCAUCUCCAUCGACCAGAGGACGGGCAGGGUCGUUCCCCAUCUCCUCAGACCCACGGCUCCCGCUUCAGCCAGCAGGUCUUUCCUUCCUCAGCCGCCGAACAGCCUCCAGCGGCAGCAGCAACCCACAGGCCAGCAGACCCAGCUCACCGCCUCCAGCAGCGACACCACUCCCUCGGUUGUUCCUCCUUGCCGCGCAGCACAUGGAGCAGAGGAGAAGAAGAAGAUGACCGAAGGAGACCGAUCUGCAGUGAAGCAGAUCCAAAAAAACCGAAUGAACCAGAUCUGAGAAGGAGAAGAGAGAACUAAAAUCGACUGCUUUGUUGCGUUUUGGUUGUUCUUGCAGGUCACCGCCGGUUUAGGAAGACAGAGGGGAAGAAGACAUUCCAGAUCCCCUGUAUUUUGGAGUUUCCGGCGGCGGCGCGUGAACCCACGCGCCGCCACUGUUCCUGCGGCACUGUUCCGGCUUGCAGAAGUCCUUCCCUGCAAUUUCUGGAGUUUUAGGGACCAUUUUUGUAAUUUUUAAAUUAUGUAAUGUAAUUUUUGUUUAGUGUUGAAUUUUUUUAUUUUGUAAUGUGGAUGUAACAAAAAAAGAAAGAAAAAGAAAAGAAAAGAAAAAAUAUAGUGAAAGUGUAUGUGUGUUUGUAUUUUUUUUUUUAUGAAUGUUUUUUUUUUUAUAAAAUUGCGAGAAUAAAGAAGAAUUUAAGAUUUUGAUUUGCUCACGGAUAAAGAAUUAUGAACUUACAUGUAAGUCGUAUUUCUAAAAUUCGAUGAAAGAACAGAAUUCUUAAAACUUCUUUAACACAUCAAGUCCACGAAGCAGCUUACCUCAGGUAGGGUGCGUUAGGGGUGCUAAUACCUUCCCUAACCACAACCAGUCCCUUACCCGCGAAUCUCUGAUAAGACCAGUACCCGGGUUUCCUAGUAGCCUUCAAUAAAUUACUAGGUGGCGACUCCAACGAACCAAUCAAAGCAAAACGAACAAACGAAAAAUCGCCAGCCGACGCCGCGCGGAUUUUUUGACGUGCGACAGAAUAGCGACUCCACUGGGGAAAGGUAUUGUUUUCAACUUUAUUGGACUAAGCUUUGUGUUUUUUAUGUGUUUAAAUUUUUUGCUUUUUGUCUUAUUUUUUCUAUUCAUGCAUUGUGUAGAAUUGUCUCAUGCAUCACACGUUUUUAUUUUUGAAAGCACACACAAGCUUCAGGUUAGGUGGGGGACUAGCAGCUUGCCUUAUGACUUGAGUCAAGGUUUAAGUUUGUGUAAACCCCAACUCUUUGCUGAGUGUUUAGACUGAUAGUGAUUGGUACAUGUGUCAUCCCACUGUCUGCUGAACCCCCAUAUUGCCUUUACAAGGGCGAUCACUGGGACAGCGAGAGACCCUUUUUAGAGACCAAGUAGUAAACCUACCUCUUGUCUCACUUAAAAAGAUUAGAACCUGCCUUUAGGAUGUGUGCUCCGUAUACAUUGUUUUGCAUCAGGGCAAACCCUUCUUGAAGCAUCUUGAACUCAAGACUUUUGGGUGACCCAAUGGCCGUCACUCAGAAAAUUUUCAUUGUAGAGUUUGGGCAAGAAUCAAGAUUCUUGUUUCAUCAUACAAGAGUUACGACCAUAUGUCACCCCUCGAAGGGCGAGUUCAUCAUAUAGUUUACAUGUUCAUACAUUUAUCAUGCAUGUACCGAAAGGAAAAAUAGGUUCCCCCUUCCGAGGUUUACUCCACUGGACGGAAAAAGAUGGAUGAUAAAGAAAGGGGUUAGAGAGAGGCUCAUUGUCAAAAUGAAGUUAAGAGCAUCAAAAGGUGAAGUAGCUAGACUCAGAUCUCCCUGAACAAGUGUUGAGCAUCAAAUGGAAAGAGAAUGUCUGCACAGUCUUCUGUGGAAACACUGCUUGUCCACGUCCAAGUGAAGUUGCACCUCUCCUUUUAAGUCCUGAACAACAACAGCAAUGCCUUCAGUCAUCAACUAAUGACAACUUUGGUUCUUGUUCCGUUGCACUGCUAAUUGUUCAUCGCCUUCACAUCUUCCAAUGGCAUUAAAUAAUUGUUAGCCUUCUGUGCAUGGUGCAAUAGCCUUAUCUGAAGUUACCUCCACUGUGAGCUCAAUUCCAGUUCAACAUGAUUAGACACUGAACUUCUACGUGGCAGAGCUCUCUCUGUAGAGAUUUGUUUGGGGAUCUGCUAGUGGGAAAUGUAAAAGGGAAUGUAGUAUUUUCAUAUGCUACAAAACUUUGCCCCAUCAAUUUCAGAACCGAAACACUGGAGUAGGCAGAAGGAUCAAACCUGGUCUGAAAACAUGAGCCGUCAUUGAACUUCAACGCGGCAGAGCUCUCUCUACAAAAAUCCGUUUGUGGCUCUGCAAGUGGGGAAUGCAAGAGGAGAUGCAGUACUUUCAUACGCUACAAAACUUUGGCUCAUCAGUUUCAGCACUGAAACACUGGAGUAGGCAAAAGAGUCAGACCUAGUCUGAAAACAUGAGCAGUCGUCGAACUUUGACGUGGCAGAGCUCUCUCUACAAAAACCCGUUUAUGGCUCUGCAAGUGGGGAAUUCAAGAGGGGAUGUAGUAGUUCCAGACAAUGUGAAAAGUUACCCCACCAGUUUCAGCAUCGAAACACUGUAGUAGGCAGAAAAACCAGACUUGAGCUAGAAAACAGGAGCAAAUAUAGAACUUCACCGUGGCAGAGCUCUCUCUGCAGAAAUCUGUUUGUAGAUCUGCAAGUGGAGAAUCCAAGAAGGGAUGCAGUAGUUUCUGAUCAUCUAUAAUUUUCUCUCAUCGGUGUUAGCUUGAAAAUGCAAAAGAAGGGAAAAGAGACAGACCUCGGCUGAAAAAUAGAAAGAAGAUUGAAACUUCAACAGAGUAGAGCUCCCUCUACAGGUGUCUGUUUGUUGCACCGUCAGUGAGGAAUCAAAGAGGAGACAAAGGAGUUUUAGAUUCAUCAGGUUCUCUUCCAGUUUUGACAAUGUGUGAUUCCACACGUCGGUAAUGGCGAUGCCACAUGUUUCUGGGCACUGCCAAGAUUACCAAGCUAUUGAAAGGUUUCCGACAACCCUCAACCAACCACAACAACAUUAAAAUAUUGACAUGAAGUUGUGUGGAUUGCCAAAAGAAUUGAGCUAGCUAUCAAGAGAGGAAAGAUUGAAGGAUCUACCAUGGAUUCCAUAACAGUGAUGAGAGUUGAAUCAGAAGAUGACUCUCAAUUGAGAAACCUCGGUCAUUUUGCCUAGUCAGGUCUUGCCAUAACAUCAACUGCUCAAAUGUCUUUGCCAAGAUUGACAUUCAUCUGCCACUCAAGUUUGUCGACCAACAUCUGUUAGAUUCCAGACUUGUUGCACCCACUUCGAUAAAAUUACAUGCAACCACCGUGGUAUAAUUCAAACGAGAUGUGAAUCUCAUGGUGGGUUCUUAGGCCAUUUUAGUUGGACAGAUGCAAGAGUUUCAAGAAUCGAGCUGAGUUUGUGAAAGAUGAUGUCAUCGAUCAUUUUGUCACCAGAACAUCAUCAGAAUAACAAGUGAUCGAAGUUGCUCGGCAAAACACAAAUAUGGCCAGAAAAGUUGAUCCAAGAAUGGUGCUGAAUUGUCCAUCAUUUUAUUGUGGAGUUGUCAUUCCGCAUUUUUGUUUUGGGGUCACAUCUCAUCCUUGAACGAAACAUGUAUUUUCUGUUUUUUUGUUGUUUUGAAAUCAAGAGAUGCUUCUUUCAAAGGGUAUUUUGACAAAAAUAUUUUGUUGAUCAAACUCCAACAUACAAAAUUAAAGCUAGUCAAUCCUGAAGAUUAAAAGUGUUUAGAUUGCGGAAAUGACUUGAUGCUUGAAAAUGACAUGAGGUGACCAAACAAUUUUGAACUCAUACCUCUUGAACCUGAGCCACACAUCAUGUAGCUAAAUUUUAAGUAUGCAUAAUGACAUGUAGUGGAUUCAGUAGUCAUGGACUCGUGAAUCAUGAUUCUUACAAGUCCAAAUCAUUACAUUGGAUGAGGUCAAAAUUUAUCGAUUCUAACCGACCUUGAAAUGAGAAAAGACCAUCUUUGUUAUCCUUUCACAUUUCUUGAAAUAUUAUCCCUUGCGGUCCCCAUUUGAGCUUGAUAGAAUACUUUUCAAGAAAACCCUGACUAGGAUCACACCCCGCACUGGGGGCAAAUAAGAGAAGACAAAAGUGAAAGAGAAGGCUUAGAACAAAAGUUCAACGUUUGAGAGUGAGUUAAAAGAAAGAAGACCUAGACUGGGGGCGUGUUAGAAAAUUAUGAGAAAUGCUAUGUGAAAGCCAUGACCUUUGGCAUCCAUGAUAAAGCUCCUGAAGUUAUCAGAUGAUUGAGAUUGGUUAUUCAUCAAAGAAAAAGUUGGAUUUGCUUAUAACCUAUGUUAAGAGAAUUCUGAUAUUUAAGGUUAAUAAGGUUAUAUGUCAUUUCCUCUACAAAGACAACAAUAGAAAAAGAGUUGAUGAAUAGUUUGAUGUUGAUCCUAGGUCUUUGAAACCCUCAAACACCUUUUGAGCCUGAAUUUUCCUUUCUUUCAUAAGCCAUGAACCAUAGCCUGCAUUACGUGCUCUUAAAAGCCCUUUUUGAUCAAGUAAGCAAUCUAAACCGAGAAAUGGCGCUCUCAAAACGUGAAGAGCCUUUACAUAAGAGUCGUGGCUUCACGGAUUAAGCUACUUGUUAUUAUGCAUGCUAAUAAAAUUGGUGCUAAAAAAGAAAACAAUCUUUCUUGAUGAAUCCUCAAGUUUUGACUUUGAGCCUUUUGUUUUCCUUGAAAUUAACAGAAGGUCACCUCAUUGCAUACCAUCAAAAGAUAUACCCGAAAUCAGAGUCUAAAAUGGAUACAAAGAACCAUGAAAAAAACCAUUUUAGUCUUACAACAUGUCAAUUUCUGUUUUCAAAAUACAUGACAAUCAAAGGACUGUAUAUUUCGAAUAACGUGUGUUGGAUCUUUGAAGAAAAAAAAAGCUUGAUUUUCAAAAGGUCUUUUCAAAAAAAGGACAUCUCUGAUUUCAUUUCAACAAACUAGACUUUGAAUAGACAUGAUCUUUGAAGUAUGAGAGUUGAUUCCAGAAUAGAAAGAUUGUCAAACAAGAAGAAUAUCGAUUGAGUUUGCAAAAUCCUUGACAAGAAUGACAUCAAAACUUCUUGACACUCCUUGAAAAGUUGACCACCUGGGGGCAGUACAGUGGACCCUGAAAGGGAAACAAGCAGUCUCCAACAUGGCUAUGACUUUUGAACGAUGUUAUCACAUAGUUGCAUUUGAAUGAAUGUUGGAAGGAUGCACACCACCAAGACUGACUGUGGGACCAUCUGCUUUGAAGCUCAAAUGCACACUUCACCGCAUGAAUAUGGGUGAUGAACAUCAUUGAUAAUGCCAAAUCAUUUCCUUUCAUGAUCUGAUUUGACAAGCUGAGAGGAAUCUAUGGAGAAGAACUUUGAGCUUACAAUGAUUAGCCUUUUACUGUAAAGUAUGAGAGGCAUGUCUGGAUGACUUGGCAGUUCCAAGAAGGCGGGUGAUAACAUAUACUUGAAGAGGAUUGUUUCAAUUGGAGGCAAGUUCAUGACUGGUUGACCAUCUUGAUGGGUGUUGGCAUGAUGCACACAACCAAUCAGAAGAUAAUUUUCAGAAGAAUCCAGGAGAGAAAAUCCUUCAUAAUGAAUCAAGCAACACCACACUUGGGGGCAGAGUCAAGCUUGAUAAACAACAAGAGCAGUAAUCGUCGUAGACAGCCCGAGAUGGGCACUGCACUUACAUUUGAGUGGAAGGCUAGCAUACGAAUGAGCCAGUACAUGGGAAGAGCAAAGAAGGCUUUGGUUAGCAAACAAAGGCACCCUAUGACGAUGGAUCAUCCAAGGGGAUAACCUACAUUUCACAUCAGGUAAGGAUGCAUGCAUGUCAUCUAACCUCAAAGCAUUGCACAUACUUGUGAUUUGUUACAGAAAGAUCCUCAAUGAAGUCCAGCAAGUUUGUGGACAAAGAAGGAAUCAUUGAGUUGAUGAUGACAAAGAAUCGGUUUAGAUCCUGGAACAAGAAGAGAAUGAGAUGAACCCUGCCAGUAGGAGAAUCUCAAAGAAACGAGGAGAUUAACCCCGUCAUUAAGGAGUCUUCAAGUCAACCUGCAACCAGAAGGUGCCAAGUUUCUCAGCCUUGUCCUGUCAGGACUGCUCCAACCAAGUCUUUUUGCCUGGUAAGUCACAUUCUAUCUUUGGGUAGGUCACCCAUAACAAUGAGACCAUUUUUUUUAAAAAAAAAACAUCAUUUUUCUGGGUAGGUCACCCAUCACAAUGAGACCACCAUCUUCCAUUUGGGUAGGUCACCCAUUAUAACGCGACCACUUCACAUUUUUUCUAUCUUCCACCUGGGUAGGUCACCCAUUAUAACGCGACCAUUUCAUAUUUUUUCUAUCUUCCAUCUGGGUAGGUCACCCAUUAUAAUAAGACUGCACUUCACAUUCUUUCCACCUGGGUAGGUCACCCAUAACAAUGAGACCACUUCACAUUUUUCUCAUCUUCCAUCUGGGUAGGUCACCCAUUAUAAUAAGACUGCACUUCACAUUCUUUCCAUUUGGGUAGGUCACCCAUCAUAAUGAGACCGUUUUUCACAUUAUUUCCACUUGGGUAGGUCACCCAUCAUAAUGAGACCAUCAUUCAUCUGGGUAGGUCACCCAUCAUAAUGAGACCAUCAUUUUCCACUUGGGUAGGUCACCCAUCAUAAUGAGACCAUCAUUCAUCUGGGUAGGUCACCCAUCAUAAUGAGACCAUCAUUUUCCACUUGGGUAGGUCACCCAUCACAAUGAGACCAUUUUUUCUGGGUAGGUCACCCAUUAGAAUGAGACAAUUCUCCAUCUUUUUUUACUUGGGUAGGUCACCCAUUAUAAUGAGGCCAUUCUUCCCACUUGGGUAGGUCACCCAUAAGAAUGAGACCACUCUUCCCCUUUUCCACUUGGGUAGGUCACCCAUCACAAUGAGACCAUUUUUUCUAGGUAGGUCACCCAUUAGAAUGAGACCAUUCUCCAUCUUUUUUUGCUUGGGUAGGUCACCCAUUAUAAUGAGGCCAUUCUUCCCACUUGGGUAGGUCACCCAUAAGAAUGAGACCACUCUUCCCCUUUUCCACUUGGGUAGGUCACCCAUCACAAUGAGACCAUUUUUUCUGGGUAGGUCACCCAUUAGAAUGAGACCAUUCUCCAUCUUUUUUUUACUUGGGUAGGUCACCCAUUAUAAUGAGGUCAUUCUUCCCCCUGGGUAGGUCACCCAUAAGAAUGAGACCACUCUUUCCCCUUUUCCACUUGGGUAGGUCACCCAUCACAAUGAGACCAUCUUGUAUUUGGGGUAGGUCACCCGUCAUAAUGAGACCAUCUUUCAUUUUGGGUAGGUCACCCGUCAUAAUAAGACUACACACACAUUUUUUAGUUUUGGUUUAAUGAGGUCGCCAGAUGGGAUCUCAUGUAGCUUUGGUUAAAGGAAAUCGCCAGAUGGGAUUUCAGGUUGACCGAGCUACACACAUUCUUUGGUUUUGAAAAAGGAGAUCGCCAAAUGGGAUCUCAAGUUAACGAAAGAAAGAAAGAAAGAAAGAAGAGGAAAGAAGGAAAAAAAAGAAAGAAACAUUUAGACAAGUUUUUCUUUACAAAACUUACUAUGCAAAACAUUGAGGAGUUUUGCUUCGUAAGCAUUGUAAAGAGGGGGCAUCUGUUGCUACCAAAUUUUUGAUCCAUGUUUUGAUAAAUUUUCAGAAAAAAACCAAAAAUAGCAAAAAAACAAUGAAAAUCCAAAAAAAUACAUUUUUGAUAUAUUUGCAUCGUUUUUAGCAUUUUCAACGUCAUCUCAAAAGAAUUUAAAUUUUCAAAGGUAUUUGGAACGCGUUCAACUUUUAACGCGUAAAUUUUAUGACCACUGAUUUUUCUUGUUGAGUUAACGUUGAUAUUGCUCGCUUUCAAAAAUACAAAAAAAUAAGAAAAAUCAAAAUUUACAAAAAAAGAGGAAAAGAGAAGGAAAGGAAAAGUUGAGGGACUAGUUUGAAAACCUAGCAAAACUUUUCCUAUAAAUACCAUGCUACACUGAAUUUACAAAGGGGGGGCAAUUUUGACAACUUCAAAAGAGGGGAAGAGCAACCCUAAACCUAUCUCAUCUUCUCCAAGCCGCCAGCCCUCCCCCAUUUUUUCUAGCCAACAACACAGGCCCCCCACGUUUUUGGUUUUCCUCUCCACGCCGUUCCCCCCAUUUUCUUCUCCUUGGCCAGCCAACAACACAAAACCCCAUUCAUUUUUCCAGCAGCUGCUCCCACUCCGUUUUCCUUCCUUCUCCCACAGCCCGGUCAUCAAUAGAUAGCCCUCAUUUCCAGUUUCUUUUCCCAAGCCAGAGCAGCCUCCUCUGCAUUCCCCAUCUCCCUUUCACUCGCCCCUCUCUUUGACAGAACAGGAUCCCCUCACUCUCUCAUUUCCAUCGCCAAGUCUCUCCUCCAUUCGGCCCCAGCAGCGGCUGAACAGCAGCAGUGCCGUCCCUCUCCAUCCCAGUUGUUCCCUUCCAUCGGCCUCCCUCCCCGGCCAUCUCACAGGUCUCCAUCAACCAGCCUCCAACGACAGCCGGACAACAGCAGCAAGGCCAACCAUUGCUGCCACCAACAGGAGUGAAGAGCAUCCAGCAGCAUCCACGACC